GGGAGCCUGAGAAACGGCUACCACAUCUAAGGAAGGCAGCAGGCGCGCAAAUUACCCAAUCCUAAUACAGGGAGGUAGUGACAAGAAAUAACAAUACAGGACUUUUUGGUUUUGUAAUUGGAAUGAGUUAAGUAUAAACCCCUUUACAAGUAUCAAUUGGAGGGCAAGUCUGGUGCCAGCAGCCGCGGUAAUUCCAGCUCCAAUAGCGUAUAUUAAAGUUGUUGCAGUUAAAAAGCUCGUAGUUGGAUUUCUGUUAAUAAUUUAUAUAAAAUAUUUUGAUGAAUAUUUAUAUAAUAUUAACAUAAUUCAUAUUACUAUAUAUUUUAGUAUAUGAAAUUUUACUUUGAGAAAAUUAGAGUGCUUAAAGCAGGCAUAUGCCUUGAAUACUCCAGCAUGGAAUAAUAUUAAAGAUUUUUAUCUUUCUUAUUGGUUCUAAGAUAAGAAUAAUGAUUAAUAGGGACAGUUGGGGGCAU
rnacentral:rRNA from 1 species